UGAACGCUAGCGGCAGGCCUAAUACAUGCAAGUCGGACGGGAUUCAGGGAGUAGCUUGCUACAAGCUGACGAGAGUGGCGCACGGGUGCGUAACGCGUGAGCAACCUACCCAUAUCAGGGGGAUAGCCUCUUGAAAGAGAGAUUAACACCGCAUAACAUCAUUUACCGGCAUCGGAUUAUGAUCAAAUAUUUAUAGGAUAUGGAUGGGCUCGCGUGACAUUAGCUAGUUGGAGGGGUAACGGCCCACCAAGGCUACGAUGUCUAGGGGCUCUGAGAGGAGAAUCCCCCACACUGGUACUGAGACACGGACCAGACUCCUACGGGAGGCAGCAGUAAGGAAUAUUGGUCAAUGGAGGGAACUCUGAACCAGCCAUGCCGCGUGCAGGAUGACUGCCCUAUGGGUUGUAAACUGCUUUUGUCAGGGAAUAAACCUUUCUACGUGUAGGAAGCUGAAUGUACCUGAAGAAUAAGGAUC
rnacentral:rRNA from 1 species